rnacentral:rRNA from 1 species
AACGAACGCUGGCGGCAUGCCUAACACAUGCAAGUCGUGCGAGAAAGUUCCUUCGGGAGCGAGUAAAGCGGCGCACGGGUGAGUAACACGUAGGUAACCAGCCCCCCAGUCUGGAACAACUAGAGGAAACUCUAGCUAAUGCCGGAUGAGACCACGAUCCCUUCGGGGGUUGCGGCCAAAGAUGGCCUCUACUUGUAAGCUAUCGCUGAGGGAUGGGCCUGCGGGCCAUUAGCUUGUUGGUGAGGUAACGGCUCACCAAGGCUGUGAUGGCUAGCUGGUCUGAGAGGAUGACCAGCCACACUGGGACUGAGACACGGCCCAGACUCCUACGGGAGGCAGCAGUGGGGAAUAUUGCGCAAUGGGCGAAAGCCUGACGCAGCGACGCCG